rnacentral:rRNA from 1 species
UGCCCUGCACUUCGGGACAAGCCCUGGAAACGGGGUCUAAUACCGGAUGACACCCUCUCCCGCAUGGGGGAGGGUUGAAAGCUUGAGGCGGUGCAGGAUGAGCCCGCGGCCUAUCAGCUGGUUGGUGGGGUGAUGGCCUACCAAGGCGACGACGGGUAGCCGGCCUGAGAGGGCGACCGGCCACACUGGGACUGAGACACGGCCCAGACUCCUACGGGAGGCAGCAGUGGGGAA